rnacentral:lncRNA from 1 species
AAUUGAAGGUUGGUUAGUGGCUCGAGGAUUACUACCAUCAAAUUCUUAUCUUUUUCCUCCUCUGAUUUCUAUACGAUUGGGACUAGCGCUUGGUAAACACUCUCCGUCCCUAUCACUUACUUUUUUCUCUUAUCAAACUCACCAGCGGACCAACAUUUCUUUCAUACCUCUCCGAUUUUCUCCGUAUUGUUUUCUCUAAAAAUUAAGGUCAACAGCAGCCACAGAUGACCUUCAAUUUUCUGGCUUUUGUUUCUGAUCUUUUUAGAUAAGAUGAGCUACAAAUAACUUGUAGAUUUACUCAACUUUUCUCUGUUCUUCCAAUGGUCUUUAUUUGCUUAAUAAUUAAUAAAGCUUGGUUUAAUAUCUCUAUUACUCAGUUAUUUUCUUAGCGAUAAGAACUCUAAUCUUCUAAUCUUUAUAUCUUAAGAUUUUUUUAUUUUAUGUCUCUUAUGUUUUAUUUAUCCAAUUUCCUAAUUUUUAUAGUAUUAUCUUUGCAGGAAAAAGAUGAAAAUUUUUGUGGGAUGCAAAUGCAAGUACUUGUGGAUAUAUUCCAUCCUUUUCUGUCCUCCAAAGGUCUGUUCUGCUUUAUUUAUCUAUUGAUUUAUUUGUUUAUUUAUUUUUUGUCGAUAAAAACUUUGUCCUUUUAAUUUCGGUCUCUACUCUCAAUUCACUUGAAGUUUUUAUUUUGUCUUUUAGUUUAUUGGAUUAUACUAUUAUUUUUAUAGAAAGGAAGAUGAAUUUAUUAGGUUUUAGCUAAAAAAUAGGCAUGAACAUCAAUGUUUUCCUCUGUAAACAUUUUUUCUGGUGCCGUUUGACAGAAAGUAUGAGUUAUAGUGGUUUCUUAAAGCAUUCUAGGAGCAUUUAAUUCCUAAAACACCUAUGCAUUCUAGAGCCCCUGUUAUAGAAACACUGAUUGCUUCUUUUCUUGGUGCACAUUCAUCUGUGAUUUUUCCCGUCUUUUUACUUCGUUUAUACUCUCAUAUUACAAUUUGCAUUUUUACAGAGUAAGGAAGAAAAGGAAGAACAACCUCUGUGGUAAGAACUUUUUAGCCCACAAGUUUUUUGCUCUGGUUUGUUUUCCUUUUCAAUUUGUGACCUUUCCCUCUUUCCCUCUAUGACAGAGGUUUGUGGAGGAUGGCAAAAAAUUGUGGUAAAACUCCUGCUCCUAUUUUUUUCACGGUACUUUGGGCCUUUUUUUUUAGAUUUUAAUAUUCUUCUUUUAAAUACUAGCUUUGAGUGAAUCCUUUUACCUAUCAAAAUGAAAUCUGCCAAAAUUAUAUCAUGUGCAUCUGUUAAAUCAGAAGUUGGAUGAUAAAUAACAUUAACUAAUAUGGAACAAAAGGGUCAAGGUUAAGACUUUUCACUUUCACUUUUGCAGAGAAGUUUAAAGAUUUUCCGAAGAAACCUCUAAGCCGGUUCAGGAAUCAUUUUUUGCUCAGUUAAAAGUUCAAUCCUUUUGUUCUUUUCUUGUUUUUUCACUGAAUAUGGGACCUGGUCUUCAUGCAAUUUCUGUUUCUGCAUCUUUUAGGACAAGUCAAUAUUUCUAAAGUAGUAUAUGUUUGAGAGUAAGACGAGAGAGAUGAUUGUCUACACAACUGAAGGUACUUUGCCAUUCCAAUUUCUCAGGGAUAAAUUUUUCCCCAUCAGAUUUUUAUCUUUGACCUUUUCUUGCUUCUUUCUUCUUUAUCCGGUAUCCACUACAGGAAGAAAGCAAUCUUUAUUUGUGGUCCAGGAAUAAACAAAUGGUGAAGAUAGCCUUUAAGUAGGUGUUUGUUCACCUUUUAUUGUUGUUUUUCCUUUUUUGGGUUUUAAUGAUAGUAUAAGUUCUAAUUAAUUGAGUUUCUGUUUAAUUGAUAGGUGAGAAUAUCUUAAACUAGGUGACUUGGUUGAGUAGAUAUUGUGCACAUCCGUAUUUGAAACUCUAUAGCAUGUCAGGUUCCUUAUCUGACUAUCUAGAUAGACUAUUUUGUAGUGUGAAAAUGUCAUCUUCUUUUGAUGGGCUUUUGAAUAACGAAUCAUUAGUUUCUUUUCAUUGAUUACACUUUUGUUGUUAAGAGUAAGUUUUACUUGGUAAUUAAUUUGUAAAUUUCAUCUUUAACCUUUUAGGUUCAUUUCUUGAACUUCAAUAUUUAUAGGUAUAAACUUGUUGAAAAAAGAAUGAGAGGCAUUGGCAGUAUGAGGAGGGACGUAAAAGAAAAGAAGAAAGGUGUGCGAAAAAGUGCAAGUUGAAAUACUGAUACUGAAAUCAUUAUGGUCAUUACUGUAAUGAUUAAAAUGCUAAGAAAAAGCUAGAGAUUGAGUUUCAAGAAAGAACCUUGGUUUACUUGGCGCUAAGAUAGGCAUUGGUCAUUUAAGUUUCCUAUUCUUUGGGAAAUUCACUAUUAUUUGACCAUUUCAAUAUUCUUUUACCAUACUAGAGCUACUGUGUUUGGUUGACUGUAUCAUUGAUAGCUAUUUAAUGUAACUUGUCUUUACCCCUCAUAGCUAAAAUGGAUUGAUGAGGAUUUCCUGAGCUAUGACUUUGAGUUCAACAUUUUGCUGACUUGCUAAAUUUGUUAAGAGAAUUUUCUUCACUUUUCUUGGAAUAUGUUUCUGCUGUUCUAUGUGCAGGUUUAGUCAAGAUAUGGAGAUUAAAGGACCUCAUUUAAAACAUCUGACACUUCUUUAGGCUUUGUUGUUCUAGGCCCAAUCAGAUAUCUUUAUACUUACUGUUAUUUGAUUGUGUGGCUUGAGUUCAAAUUAAGUAAAUUAUUUGAGAGAAUGCUUAAUGAUUUGUUUGGCUUGUUUUGCUUAGCAAUGAAUCAAAGCCCGAAGAGUGAAAGAACUCUUACCGUUUCCCUUGCAUUAUCAUGAUUGAAGUGUCAAGCACCCCUAGAAUCAAGAUUGGAAUUAUUUCUAUGUCUGUCCUGCAUGGAUCUAUAGUGAUUAUUUAUUAGCCUCAUUUUUUGAUACAUAUUAUUGUAGACAUUAUGUACAUUUUACUUUUUAAAUAAGAGGUUUUGUUUGUAAAGAUAGUGAACAAUUUUUGUUUCAAUGCAUCAUAUUGUGUAUAGUGGACCUAUUAUGUACUUCCUAAUUUUGUCCAGUUACGGUGUGUUGUAUUCUUAAUGACACUGAAUUGCC